CAAUAGCGCAUAUUAAAGUUGUUGCGGUUAAAAAGCUCGUAGUUGGAGUUCUGCCAGGUGCCGCCUGUCCGCCCCAGUGGUGAGUACGUGGCGCGCAUUUGGCCCUUUCAAGGGGAGCGUAUCUGCACUUUAUUGUGUGGUGCGGGAUCCUUGACUUUUACUUUGAGGAAAUAGGAGUGUUCCAAGCAGGCUCUCGUCGUGCACAGCUCAGCAUGGAAUAAUAGCAUUGGACCUCGAUUCUAAGCUGUUGGUUGCCAGAAGCGAGGUAAUGAUGAAGAGGGAUAGUUGGGGGCAUUCGUAUUUAACUGUCAUAGGUGAAAUUCUUGGAUUUGUUAAAGACGGACUACUGCGAAAGCAUCUGCCAUGGAUGUUUUCAUUGA
rnacentral:rRNA from 1 species